rnacentral:rRNA from 1 species
UGGGGAAUAUUGCACAAUGGGCGCAAGCCUGAUGCAGCCAUGCCGCGUGUAUGAAGAAGGCCUUCGGGUUGUAAAGUACUUUCAGCGGGGAGGAAGGUGUUGAGGUUAAUAACCUCAGCAAUUGACGUUACCCGCAGAAGAAGCACCGGCUAACUCCGUGCCAGCAGCCGCGGUAAUACGGAGGGUGCAAGCGUUAAUCGGAAUUACUGGGCGUAAAGCGCACGCAGGCGGUCUGUCAAGUCGGAUGUGAAAUCCCCGGGCUCAACCUGGGAACUGCAUUCGAAACUGGCAGGCUAGAGUCUUGUAGAGGGGGGUAGAAUUCCAGGUGUAGCGGUGUAAUGCGUAGAGAUCUGGAGGAAUACCGGUGGCGAAGGCGGCCCCCUGGACAAAGACUGACGCUCAGGUGCGAAAGCGUGGGGAGCAAACA